rnacentral:rRNA from 1 species
GACAGAGGGUGCAAACGUUGUUCGGAAUUACUGGGCGUAAAGCGCGUGUAGGCGGCUAUGCAAGUCGGAUGUGAAAGCCCUCGGCUCAACCGGGGAAGUGCACCCGAAACUGCAAAGCUAGAGUCUCGGAGAGGAUCGUGGAAUUCUCGGUGUAGAGGUGAAAUUCGUAGAUAUCAGGAGGAACACCGAUGGCGAAGGCAGGUCUCUGGGCAUUAACUGACGCUGAGGCGCGAAAGCGUGGGGAGCAAACAGG